GCACUGAGACUUAUUAUCCUGCAGCUUCUGGAGCCCUUCGACUGCUGCUGUUUGAAGAAGCCCAGGCUAGCUUAUUGGAUGGUGAGAGGGAUACGGCCUGGUCACCCCUAUGCCCUGGCCCUCAGCGUGCCAGAUGGGACCAUCUAGUUGCAGGGAAACAAGCUGGGGGCUCCCCUUGUUCUACAUUAUGAUAUGAUCCAUGGAUGCACAGAGGGCCUUUGUACUUUGCUGGAGAAAAGCGUGCACACUAGACAGACUCAUCUCCCAUGGAAUCUGCUGACAGAUCUCUCUGGGGACCCCUGGGCAGCUAUGUGUCCAGCACCACCAGUGGCUCCCCAUUUCUGUGUCUUCUUAGAAGAUCUGACAACCCAGCAUACCUCUUGCUGAUGUUAUGGAUCUGCUGGCUCUGUAAACUAUAAAUUGGCAAACUAGAUUAAUCAAAGAGGAAGCUUUCUGCAUGUGUGCUAACAGUCCCAACUCUCUAAUCUCACAAGGCACCAAUGUGACACUUCUUGCUAAAGAAUGUGGUUAUUAAUAUAUCUGUCUUUGGUUUUCUUUUCUGCUCUUGGAGUGGAAAGCCCCUAGAGAAAUAGUUCCAAAAAGAAUUUAUAAUAUACUUGCUGGAGAAAUAAGAUUUAAGAGGGCAGGCUUUCACAUCAAAGUUUCAGCAUAUGGUAAUGAAGGUUUCUGUUCAGACAGGUGGAGGAGGAGCUGCCUACAUUUCCUGCGGGGGGUGGAGGGGAAGUAGGCAUGGCGGUGAGUCCUGGGCUCUCAGACUUUGCUUAUCAUAUUGUAACAGCUGACCUUGGUCCCCUUUUUGGCUCUGUCUCUAACCCACAGGUCAGCCUAGGAUGUCACUGAUUCAAUUUAUUUCAAUGUCAGGUUGUCAGAUAUAAUUUACAUACAGUAACAUUCCGUUCCCCCUUUUCAGUAUGCAGCUCUAUACGUUGUGACAAAUGUAUGCCAUUCUAUAACCACCAUGAUGAAGACACGGAACAUUUCCAUCACCUCAGAAGUUCCCUUGUGCCCCUUGUAGUCAGCUCCUCUUCUCAGACCCACCCCAAGCUGGCAACCACGGGUCUGCUUUCUAUACCUAUAGUUUUCCUUUUUCAAAAUAUCAUAUAAAUAGUCCAUAGGCAUUUUAACAGCCAAGGUGCCUAAUAAAUAGUGCACUGUGACUAUCAUUGUUUUUCUUGAAUUAAAAAGCCCACCGUGGAGGUGGGUACGUGGAGCCUCUCCUAACUCCAGCUUCCAUAAGCAGACAUGUUUCAACAGAUAUCCUUUUCUUCUUUAACAGAUUCAUUGGGUUCAAAUUCUAGUACUGUCACUCAGUAGCUAAAUAUCUUUGGAUAUUUUAUUUCAAUUCUCAAUAACUUUGUUUUCUUAUUUGUAAAAUGAGAAUUUUAGAAUACCUAUCUUUGGAAGCAAACAAACAAACUAAAGUGAGGGACAACAAAAACAAAAGAAAAUUGCAUUGUUCUUGGGAUCUUAGAAAAUAGCAACAUGAAGUUACUUUAUUUUAAAAUUUAUUCAGCUGACAAUACAGGAAUGGCAUUCAAAGCAAGUUACUUAAAUUCUGUGUGCCUCAAAUUCUGUUGUGUAAAUUGGGGAAACAAGUGUACUUCCCUUAUAAGAUUGCUGUUUUGAUAUUAAAUGAGACAUGAUCCAUAUAAGGUCUUUUGAGCAACCUUAAGCUCAAAAGAAAAUACUCGAAAUAUGUGACUUGUCAGAAUUACAUUUGUAUUUAUGUAGCCCAAAUGCAGCAUACAUUUAAGAAUGCUUUAUAAUCUUGCUGCUGAAUUGUCCAUCAACUGAUAUAUUUUUCUUUCAAUUAUUUAUUCUAACUCAUGUGUCCUAAAAUUCAUCUUUUCAAAGUACACAUUUCAGUGGUUUUUAGUAUGUUCAAGAUGUUGUAAUCCGUCCCCAUUAUCUAAUUCUUGAACAUUUUCAUCACAAAAGCAACCCUGUGCCCAUUAACAGUUACUCCCCAUUCCACUCUCACAUCAGCCUGUGGAAGUCACUCAUUAGUUUUCUGUUUCUGUAGAUUUGCCCAUUCUUGGUAUUUCAUAUAAAAGGAAUCACACGGUAUGUGGCUUUUUGUGUCUGCCUUAUGUCACUAAGCAUAAUGUUUUCAAGGUUCAUCUACAUUGUAGCAUGUAUCCAUACUUUUUUCCUUUCUAUGGUUGAAUAAUAGUCUAUGGUAUAGAUAAUAUUACAUUUUGUUUAUCUGUUCACCAAUUGAUCCAACUGAUGGGCAUUUUGGUCAUUUCCAAUUUGGGGCUAUUAUGAAUAAAGUACCUAUGAACAUUUGUGUAUACAUUUUUCUGGGGGUAUGUUUCACCUCUCUCUUGGGUAGAUAACUAGGAGUGGAAUUGCCAGGUCAUUUGGUAGCUCUAUGUUUAACUUUUUGAGAAACUGACAAACUGUUUUCCAAUGCAGCUGUACCAUUUUCCAGUGCACCCACCAGCAAUGCAGGAAGGUAGCAACUUCUUCACAUCUACUCCAGCACUUCACUUGUAGUGGGCUAUGAUUUGUUCUGAUACCCAGCCUAGUGGCUAUAAUGUUAUAUCUCACUGGGGUUUUUAAUUGUGUUUGCCUAGUGAAAAAUGAUGUCGAGUAUUUUUUGCCUGUUUUUAAAUUGGAUUACUUGUCUUUUUUAUGAUUGAGUUGUAAGUGUUCUUUAAUGUCUGGGUACCUGUAAGAUACAUAUUUCCUCCCAUUCUGUGGGUUGAAUUUUCACUUUCUUCAUGGCAUCCAUUGAAGC
ensembl:lncRNA LINC01721 long intergenic non-protein coding RNA 1721